rnacentral:rRNA from 1 species
AUGGAGGAUCCCGCCAUCGAUAAUCCCUUAGAUCCCAGUAUCCCGCGGGCUGCCCUCUCGCUGCGGCCCGUAGCACUGCUGCCUUUGAGAGAAACCCACCUGUGUUUUAGAGGGGAUCCAUUACUCUGGAAUCACAGAUCGGUGGCACCGGAGGACAUGCCAGGGUUGCAUUUCAGGUGGUGGGCAGCAAGGGCAAAUCAAAUCGAGGAAGUGUCACAUCGAUUGGAGAGAAGUUCCAAGGAGCUGUGCCUGGCGCAGCACAAGGCAGAGGCGCAAGUUGAUCUCAGUGGAGAGAUGCUGAGGGAUGUCAGCAGCUAG